rnacentral:ncRNA from 1 species
UGACAAGCCUCUGGAGAGACUCUCAAAGAGCACCGAAGGGGAAAACUGAUUACAGUGAAACUCUCAGGUAAAAGGGACGGGGGAUUUUUU